GCCGGGUGUGGUGGUGCGCACUUGUAGUCCCAGCUACUAAGGAGGCUUAGGCAGGGGAAUCGCUUGAACCCAGGAGGUGGAGGUUGCAGUGGGCUGAGAUCAUGCCUCUGCACUCCAGCCUGGGUGACAGAGUGAGACCCUGUCUCAA
rnacentral:SRP_RNA from 1 species